rnacentral:rRNA from 1 species
AGAUUGAACGCUGGCGGCAUGCCUUACACAUGCAAGUCGAACGGCAGCACGGGAGCAAUCCUGGUGGCGAGUGGCGAACGGGUGAGUAAUACAUCGGAACGUGCCCAGUAGUGGGGGAUAACCCGGCGAAAGCCGGACUAAUACCGCAUACGACCUACGGGUGAAAGCAGGGGAUCGCAAGACCUUGCGCUAUCGGAGCGGCCGAUGUCAGAUUAGCUUGUUGGCGGGGUAAAAGCCCACCAAGGCGACGAUCUGUAGCUGGUCUGAGAGGACGACCAGCCACACUGGGACUGAGACACGGCCCAGACUCCUACGGGAGCAGCAGUGGGGAAUUUUGGACAAUGGGCGCAAGCCUGAUCCAGCCAUGCCGCGUGCGGGAAGAAGGCCUUCGGUGUAAACCGCUUUGUCAGGAAGAAAGACUCGGCUAAUACCUAGAGUCAUGACGGUACCUGAAGAAUAAGACACCGGCUAACUACGUAGCCAGCAGCCG